CUCUCUGGGGCAAUUCCCUCCUCCCAAAAACCAUUACCUGCCUAUCCCUGCCUGCUCCACGGUCCGCCCUCCUCUCCCGGGCCACCCCUCCAGGAGGUGGUGUCACCUUUGGAUGGGUCUCAGGGGGGUAGGGAUGGGCACCUGGAACAGAACGCUGGAUGCAGCCGAGCAUCACUCAGGGCUGGGGGCUGCCAUGGGGACCUCGUGUAAGAGAGGGUCCCCUCGGUGUGGCACGGUGCCCUGGACACCAUCCCGGCCUUGAGCGACUGGCAGCACCUCCCGGACCCCUCCUGCUGCAUUUUGGCCUCGUCAAGGCCGUUUUUGUGGGGCAGUGUGGCCACCUGGCUGCGGGAGCAGCGGGACCGGCAUCCCCCGGGGCUCCCCGGGGCUCCCCGGAGCGGGGGGUCGAGUGUCUUUGCUUUAUUUGUUUAAUUAAAACCAAGGCAAGUAGGGCGGCCCAGGGGGCCCAGCCGUCGGGAGCCGGCACCCUCCACAAAGUGAUUCCUCGGGGAAGCCCGGUGGCCGAGCGGGACCACGGGACAGCCGGGUCUCGGGCUUUCCCAGCAGCAGGACCACCCUGGAGGACUCGGCCACGCCGGGGCCCCUCCUCCGGUCCCCCGGGGUCGCUCCCGGCCAUCCCCGGGGCAAAACAUCUCCCGUGCGGCGCCUUUUUAGCCGCGGAGGGUCCUUGCGCUCUGGAUGAGCCUCGUCCCUCGGUGCCAAGGGCAGCCUGGGCGCCUGUUUUCCCCCGGUGAAGACAUGGCCCCUUCCUCCUCCUCCUCCUCCUCGCGGGCCGGGGCUCCAGGAGGCAGGAGCCGGCUCCGUCGGCUCCGCGCGUAAGGAAGCGUCCGCCCGGGAAUCCGCCACGGUGUCGGCACCCAGGCUCCCUCCCUCCCCCGGUGCUGGAGCUGCUCUGAGCCCAGAAGCCCCUUCCCAUCCCCAAACGGGCCUUCCCGCCUCGCUUCCUCCCUCAGACGUAGGAGACUGUCAGGUUACGGCCUCCGGGGGGGGCUGGGGCAGGGCCCCCCUCGCUGCUGGCUCCAGGAGGGAUGCUCCUCUCCUCCCCGGCACAGAGGGAUGCUGGGGGGGGCUGGUGCCGCUUGCUGCUGGUUCCCACUCCCCAAACCACCACCCCGCGGGGAGGGGGAGCGAGGGGGAAACAAAUGGGAUGUGGAGCAUCUCGGGGGCUCGAGGGGUGCUGAGACAUCGGCGACAGGGACCCCGGGAAGGUGGUGGGAUGGGAGGUCAACUCAGCCAGCGAGGGGUGAUCCCGAACCCCUCCACUGCCAUUCCCAGACUGGACACCCCCAGGAACCCACGCAAAGCCCACCCUCAUCCUCCCAGAGCCAGCCCCGCGCCUCCUCCUCCUCCUCCUCCUCCUCUUCCUCCCCGCAGAGCCGCUCGCCCCGGGCUGCCGAGGGGGCUCCCGGGGUGUCCCCCUCGCUGCUGCUUCCCCGGCUGCCGCUCCGCAUGACCCCCCCACCCCGCGCCCCCCUCCGCCCCCGCGCCCCCAUCGCUCCCCCCCUU